rnacentral:rRNA from 1 species
AAGCAUAUCAAUAAGCGGAGGAAAAGAAACUAACAAGGAUUCCCCUAGUAACUGCGAGUGAAGCGGGAAAAGCUCAAAUUUAAAAUCUGGUGGUCUUUGGCCAUCCGAGUUGUAGUCUGGAGAAGUGCUUUCCGCGUUGGACCGUGUACAAGUCUCUUGGAACAGAGCGUCAUAGAGGGUGAGAAUCCCGUCUUUGACACGGACUACCAAUGCUUUGUGAUGCGCUCUCAAAGAGUCGAGUUGUUUGGGAAUGCAGCUCAAAAUGGGUGGUAAAUUCCAUCUAAAGCUAAAUAUUGGCGAGAGACCGAUAGCGAACAAGUACCGUGAGGGAAAGAUGAAAAGCACUUUGGAAAGAGAGUUAAACAGUACGUGAAAUUGCUGAAAGGGAAACGCUUGAAGUCAGUCGCGUUGGCCGGAACUCAGCCUUGCUUUUGCUAGGUGCACUUUCUGGUUGACGGGCCAGCAUCAAUUUUGAUUGUUGGAUAAAGGUUGGGGGAAUGUGGCACCUUCGGGUGUGUUAUAGCCCUCAGUCACAUACAACAGUUGGGAUUGAGGAUCUCAGCACGCCUUUAUGGCCGGGGUUCGCCCACGUUCGUGCUUAGGAUGCUGGCAUAAUGGCUUUAAACGACCCGUCUUGAAACACGGACCAAGGAGUCUAACAUGCCUGCGAGUGUUUGGGUGGAAAACCCGAGCGCGUAAUGAAAGUGAAAGUUGGGAUCUCUGUCAUGGAGAGCACCGACGCCCGGACCUGACCUUCUGUGACGGCUCCGCGGUAGAGCAUGUAUGUUGGGACCCGAAAGAUGGUGAACUAUGCCUGAAUAGGGUGAAGCCAGAGGAAACUCUGGUGGAGGCUCGUAGCGAUUCUGACGUGCAAAUCGAUCGUCAAAUUUGGGUAUAGGGGCGAAAGACUAAUCGAACCAUCUAGUAGCUGGUUCCUGCCG